rnacentral:rRNA from 1 species
UACGUAGGGUGCAAGCGUUAAUCGGAAUUACUGGGCGUAAAGCGUGCGCAGGCGGUUUUGUAAGUCUGACGUGAAAUCCCCGGGCUCAACCUGGGAAUUGCGUUGGAGACUGGCAAGGCUGGAGUCUGGCAGAGGGGGGUAGAAUUCACGUGUAGCGUGAAAUGCGUAGAGAGUGGUGGAGGAACACCUGCGGCGAAGGCGG